UCUCAGUUCGGAUCGCAGGCUGCAACCCGCCUGCGUGAAGUUGGAAUUGCUAGUAAUCGCGGAUCAGCAUGCCGCGGUGAAUACGUUCCCGGGCCUUGUACACACCGCCCGUCACCACCAUGGGAGCCGGUAAUACCCGAAGUCAGUAGCCUAACCGCAAGGGGGGCGCUGCCGAAGGUAGGAUUGGCGACUGGGGUGAAGUCGUAACAAGGUAUC
rnacentral:rRNA from 1 species